rnacentral:rRNA from 1 species
GCGAAAGCGUGGGGAGCAAACAGGAUUAGAUACCUGGUAGUCCACGCUGUAAACGAUGUCGAUUUGGAGGGUGUUCCCUUGAGGAGUGGCUUCCGGAGCUAACGCGUUAAAUCGACCGCUGGGGAGUACGGCCGCAAGGUUAAAACUCAAAUGAAUUGACGGGGGCCCGCACAAGCGGUGGAGCAUGUGGUUUAAUUCGAUGCAACGCGAAGAACCUUACCUACUCUUGACAUCCAGAGAAUUUAGCAGAGAUGCUUUAGUGCCUUCGGGAACUCUGAGACAGGUGCUGCAUGGCUGUCGUCAGCUCGUGUUGUGAAAUGUUGGGUUAAGUCCCGCAACGAGCGCAACCCUUAUCCUUUGUUGCCAGCACAUUAUGGUGGGAACUCAAAGGAGACUGCCGGUGAUAAACCGGAGGAAGGUGGGGAUGACGUCAAGUCAUCAUGGCCCUUACGAGUAGGGCUACACACGUGCUACAAUGGCGUAUACAAAGAGAAGCGACCUCGCGAGAGCAAGCGGAACUCAUAAAGUACGUCGUAGUCCGGAUUGGAGUCUGCAACUCGACUCCAUGAAGUCGGAAUCGCUAGUAAUCGUAGAUCAGAAUGCUACGGUGAAUACGUUCCCGGGCCUUGUACACACCGCCCGUCACACCAUGGGAGUGGGUUGCAAAAGAAGUAGGUAGCUUAACCUUCGGGAGGGCGCUUACCACUUUGUGAUUCAUGACUGGGGUGAAGUCGUAACAAGGUAACCA